AUGUGUCUCUGUCUCAGGAAGAAGACUGAUUGGUUCCUGCAGUCUAAUUGGUGCCACGCCCUCCCCGGUCAGCUGACUCCUAACUGCCUAUAAAAGCCUCCUUUGUCACUUCUUGCAUCAGCCUUGUGCUCACUUGCUGUGUUUGCUCUGCUUGACCCUGCUAGUUAGUUACAAACGGAGGCAGCGAGGGGGAGAAAGAGAAGCAGGAGGAGGGACAAGAGCAUGGAGGGAAACGAGAAACAGACAGAGCUUGUGCUCUUUUUCAGGGCUGAGAGCGAGGAGCCUGGGAACGUGGAGCAGUUUGGCCAGCCUGAUAGAAAUAUCCUGAGUUGAAAUGUAAACAGGCCUGAUCUCUGAUCUACCCGGAGAGCCCCUGAUCUGACCCGGCAUUCCACCCAGGGGUUCAACGCUGACAUCAGGAGCCCACUUUCUCAUUUCCUGGGCUGGACGCUGACCCCUCGGGAAAGUGGGGGCCCUUGCAUACACACUUGAGGAUGCAGUUUCCCACAAGGGUUGGAUUUCAGUUGGGCAGGAAAAACCUGACAGACAUCAGAGUGCUCUGUGUGCUUUCUCUGUGCUAGAGAAAUCAUAUCAAGCCUGAAUGUGUCUCACAAUUCACAACCAUUGGCUGGUGCAAAGAAAAGUCAACACAGCUCUUCCCCACUCUGCAUUCCUGCAGGAAUAUUCCCCACAUUGCAUUAGAAACAAAUUAUAUAA